rnacentral:lncRNA from 1 species
UAAUCACUUGUCAAAACAUUAGCGCUAAUCAUUAAUCUCAAAAAUUCGAACUAUUAAAAAUAAUUAAUUAAUUUACUGAAAGCAUACAGAUACAUAUUUCACAGAUCUCGAUUGUGAUUUGAUCCAACCAGUCUCACGCCAUUUCGAAUAUGACUCGACUCACUCAGUCUCAUACUAUUUCGGACAUGACUCGACCCAACAUCACCUCCCGCAAUAAGACAGAAUGCUGGCUCAUUUAAACCCACAAUAGGGCUCGGCGCAUCCGAGAGCCCACAACCCGAUAUAGUUUACGCAUUUCGAAGCGUCUGAAAAUGACACGAAUGACGAAUAGAACAGCGUCACAUUAUAAUCGUACUCGCCAACUUCUGUAUUCUGACAAUUUGUUAAAUUGUAGCUAGAUUAGGAUGGGUAUUUAAAUCUGUAUGAAAUAAAUUGAAUAGAUAUUAAUUUAAGGUGUGACCGUACGUACAAUGAUUGCAUGCACGUAGUAAUUAAUACGGGUGCAUCGUAAGAGAGUUCUCAUUUGAAUUUGGAAAAAACUUCAAAUACCACAUUUUAGUUUCACAGUUUUUUACUUUAAUACUCUAUGGUUUAAAGUUUUUAACUUUAAUACUCUAUGGUUUAAAGUGUAUAAAUUUAGUAUCCUAUGAUUUUAUUUUUAUCUCUUUAUCAUUGAUUUCAUAAAUUUUUUUCGUUAAAUCAGUAACAAAGUUAAAACUAAAGAGUACUAAAAUAAAUAUUUGAUAAACCGAGUUGAGAUAUCUAAUUAAAAUUUUUUGUAUAUAAUUUAACGAAAUAUUAACGAAAAAACUGACGAAAAGAUAAAAAUAAAAUCAUAGGACACUAACUUGAUAUACUUUAAACCAUAGGGUACUAAAGUGAGAAAGUGCAAAACUAUAUGGAUGGUAUUUGAAGUUUAUCCUUAAAUUUAUAGAAAAUGAGAAAGGAAUGGUAGAGAUUUAGUAAGAGAGGUUGUGUUGAAGUUUUUUCAUAUAGAAAAGUAGUCGAGUGUAAUUUUUUUCUUGGUUCGUGAAUUAUUUAUAUUUUUUAUUUGGUUUUUUUUUUCUUAUUUUUUUUUGUAAUCGUAUCAGGUUUUGCUAAGUAGACGGCGGGUUUAUAGUAAAAAUUCAAUUUGACGCUUCCGUUGCGGAAUUCCAACGACUGGUAAUAGAGCAAAUACUGAAUUUACAGUAAUAAAUAUCAGAGCGGAUUGGAGAUUCGUAAUAUCAAAUUCCCAACAGCAUGAACCCAAAAUUAUAACAAUUUGUCUUAAAAAACUUAAGCAAGUAUAUCUGAACUCCCUGUUUUUUUUUAAUAAAAUAUCUAAUGGAGUUUGAACAUAGAAUCUUUUGCUAUAACAUUAUGUAAAAUAAUAAUAUAGGUAAACAUGUAUAGAACUUGCUCAAACUAUGAGUCAUUCGAGCCAACUAUCAGAUUUUUUUAAAUUUUGAUUUUGCUACCGAAUCUUUCAAUUUUUUUGAUUUGAGCCCCUCAACGACAUUUGAACUUUCAAAAUUUAAAAUUCAUCAUCUAUCUUUACAUAUUUAACCCAAAUACUUCAUCCAAUUCUCGCAACUAUACGUUCAUUAAAUUAAACAAUUAGCUUAAAUUUUGAAGUAGAAGAGUCGUUGACUAACUCAAAUCAAAUAAAUUUGAAAUUGGAUAGUAAAAUCAAAAUUUUGAAUGAUAGUGUAGUCGAUUCAAAAUAAUUUAAAGUUCAAAUAAAUUUUAUACAUUUUUACCGAUAAUAUAAGGCAAUUACUUUUCGCAUGAUUGUUAUAAUUCUUUCUUGUUGACAGUGGAGUGUCCAAUUAACGAAGCACACGAAUUUAAAUUUAGGUAAAAAUAUGCAGAAUUUAUCAAGAUUAUAAAUCAUUUUAAAACGACUGUCCUCAAAAUUUUGAUUUUACUAUCCAACCACUCAAUUUGUUCGAUUUAAGCUAGUCAACGAUAUUUUGAUUUCAAAAUUUGAAUGCAUCAUUUAUCUUUAUAUGUUUCAUUAAUACAUUUUAUAUAAUCCUCAUAACUAUAAAUUCAUUAACAUAAGAAAUUAGCUUAAAUUUUGAAGUAAAAUUAUUGCUGAACUAACUCAAAUCAAAUAAAUUUGAAAUUGGAUAGUAAAAUCAAAAUUUUGAAUGAUAGUGUAGUCGAUUCAAAAUAAUUUAAAGUUCAAAUAAGUUUUAUACUUUUUUACCAAUAAUAUAAGGCAAUUAUUUUGCGCAUGAUUGUUAUAAUUCUUUCUUGUUGACAGUGGAGUGUCCAAUUAACGAAGCACACGAAUUUAAAUUUAGGUAAAAAUAUGCAGAAUUUAUCAAGAUUAUAAAUCAUUUUAAAACGACUGUCCUCAAAAUUUUGAUUUUACUAUCCAACCACUCAAUUUGUUCGAUUUAAGCUAGUCAACGAUAUUUUGAUUUCAAAAUUUGAAUACAUCAUUUAUCUUUAUAUGUUUCAUUAAUACAUUUUAUACAAUCCUCACAACUAUAAAUUUCUUAAAAUAAGAAACUAGCUUAAAUUUUGAAGUCAAAUCACUGUUGACCGACUCAAAUCAACUAAACUGAAAGAUUCAAAAUAAUAAAAUUCAAAUAUUUUUAAAUUGGGUAGCCAUUUUAAAAUGAAGUUUAGUUUUACCUUGAACCCUCUUAAAUCACGACAGAUGCAUUGUACGCUGAUAAUACGUUAUAUUAUAAAUGAUCAUCUAUCCUACCCAAACUUUAAAUACUAAAAGGAGACAUUCUGUUGAAUGUAAUUGUAAAUACAAUAUAAUUAAAAAUGUAUGCAGCUAGAAAUACAGUAGUUGCAAUUAUAUGCAUCUUGUUUGAUUGGAUACUUGGAUGUGGCAAAUACAUUAGAAUUAUAAAUAAUUUAUUUGGUAGUAUACUGUUGAGAAGUAUAUUUGUAAAUUUUAUUAUUUUAUAUAUGGGUGAUAAUUAUUAGAAAAUGUAAACUUAUCUUUUAUUUAAAUUGUUAUCUCAAACUAUUGCAGUUGAGCUUUCUCGUUUAAUUCCAACUGCAGCUGUUAAAUUCGAAUGUAUGAAAUAAAAUACCAAAUUAAGAUUUACAAAUAGUUUAAAAAUAUAGUGCAAUUGCGACUGCGUGCAACUAAUAUGGAAACAAUGCUAUCGCAAACAAAUCACGUAUAUGUGGGCUUGAGGAAGUGAAGCCCAAUAUAAGGCCUAAAUUAUUAGAUUGGGCCGGGCCUCCAAAUGAAAAGCCCAAAAUAAUUCAGACUCGUCUCGAGCUUACCAGUGGAGCCCAAUCGACCCCAACCAAUUUGGACAUAGUUAGCAUUUAAAAGGGUCUUUUUUUCCUUUUAGCUACCUCAGAAUUUUUUUUUUUUUUUUUUUUCACAAAUACUCCUGCAAAAUUUAUAUUUGUAACAUCUGUCCUAUCCCCGCCACACAAGCACCACGCGAACUCCACAUACAUGUGGCUGGUUAAGUUGAAUACGUUUAACCAUUCUCCAUGUCCUUUUCACAUUCAUUGUGUUUAUUAUAUUAAAUAUUGUAUAAGUUUAGUUAAACAUGAUAAAUCAUUCACCGUAUCCAUUUACGGUAAAUGAUUCACUGUAUUCAACUUAAUUUGUUACGCUUACAUGGCGCUUGCAUGGCGUUUGCGUGGCGGGAAAAGGACUAAUCUUGUAAAUAUAAAUUUUAUGAAGCUAUUGUGAAAUUUUUUUUCAGAGGGCUAAAAGCAAAAAAAAGGUAAUUUAAAAUAGGUAGAAAAUUUCAGACGGGCGGAUUCGGACCAGACAAACUGAUCUGAUCCGAAAUCACACUCCGCCUUUUCUCAUUUGGAUCUCAUAUCCGAACCCGAAAUCUACUGAAUCCGCACAAGGGUCAAUUGCACCAUUGGUCCCCGAUCUUUACUCGAUUUUUCUUUUUUUGGGUUGUUCCCUAACUUUGGUCUUUUCUAUACUUUGAUCCUUAUUUUCUUCUUUCAUAUUUAUUUAUCUAUUAGAAGUGACCAUCUUUACUAUCAUCCUCUGCAUCUAUGACUAUCGUCUAUUCUAAAGUAUUCAACACUCUAGCGUUGAGCCGAUUAUGUUACCAAACUCUUUCGAAAAUUUAGAAAAGUCGAUACUGAGAUUGAUUUGGAUUAUUAAAUCAUACAUAUAUAUGUACAUAUAUUGACGUUGGCUUCAGUCUAUUUUAUCAAAAUUAAUAGGAACCUGAGUGAUUGAAACCAAACUGCAAUAAACUAUAAAAAUCAGUCAUGCAAAUGGGUAAAAGGAAAAAGAAAAAGACCAAAGUAAAUCAAAAGAGCAAAGCAAUCUAUACACUAACAUCUCACUAAUCCUGAGACAUAAUUUAUUUACUAUUCAUAUCCAAAAGAAGUGAAUGGAUAGUAAUUUUCUAAAUGUAAAAAUGUAUAAAAGUUUUUAGAACUAUAGACCAUUUUGAUUUGACUACUCAAACUUUCAAAAUUUUGAUUUUAGCGUCCAACCAUUCAAUUUGUUUAAUUUAAGUAAUUGAUGGCUCUCCAAAUAUAAAAUUUAAGCUAAUUAUCUACUUUAAUAAAUUUAUAGUUAUGUAAAUUAUAUAAAAUAUACUAACUAAAUUUAUAGAAAUAAAUGAUACAUUCAAAUUUUAAAGCUAAAUAGUCACUAAUUGGGUCAAAUAAAAAAGAAAAUAAAAGGUUAGAUAGUAAAUAUCAAAAUAUUGAAAGAUUAGGUAGCCAAAUCCAAAUGUAUAAUAGAUUGAUAGUUUAGGUGUCACAGAUUCGGACACACGAUAUGAAACACGACAUGCCUAUGACAUGAUCACUCAUUAGCUUCAAAAAAUUAGGACACAGACACGAUAUUAAUAAAAUAUAAUAUUAACCUUAUUAAUAUAAUACAAUAUAUUUAUUAUAUAUAAAAUAUUAAUUUUGAUAAAAUGUUAUUAUAUUUUAUACCAAUAAAGUUAAUAAAUUUUUUAUUGAUAGUUCAUAUUUUUUUAAAAAAAUUCUCUUAUACAUAAUUUAUUAAAACAAAAUAUUUAUUAUAUUAUUAUAUAUACAUAAAAAAUAAUAUAAAAAGAAUAUAUUUUUUUAAAGGGAUGUACCAUGGACUCCAUCUAGGCAUUGCAAACGGAUCCGGAUUGGUGGAGCGCCCGCCCGGCCAUGACAGGGCAGUAAAUGGAAAAAAUAAACGGAUUCAGGGGCGGAAACGGGAUAAAUUUUACGAUCCGAGAUGGAUUCGGGGCAGGAAACGGGAGAAAUUUUGACCCGCCUCGAAUCCGCCCUGCCAUGAUCCGUCCUGAAUCCGCCCUGAAUUCGCCCCGAAAAUCAUUUAUAUUUUAAAAAAAUAUUCCUAAAAAAUAAUGUAUUUACAAAAAAGUUCAAAAUACAAAUAAUUUAGUAUUCUCAUUCUAAUGUAUUUGAAACUUUUGAAUUUUGUUUGAAUUGUGAUUGUAUUUUUUUUAUAAUUAAUGUUGUUAAAUUAUAUAUAUAAUAUUAUUAAAAAAUAUUAAUUUAUAUUUACAAAUAUUUAAUAAUAUUAUAAUUUUAUAAAACAUAUUAUUGGCGGGGCGGAUUCGGGGCGCCGGCGGAAAACGGUUACGAGGCGGGCGGAUUAUGGAUGUAUUUUUUAACCCAUCACGGAUUCAGGGCGGAAGGCGGGGCGAGAUUUGCUAGUUGGGGCGGGAGGCGGGGCGGGGCUCCCGCCCCCAAAUCCGCCCCGUUUGCAUCCCUACUCACGUCGAACGCGUAACCAUAGUGUUACCGCGUCAGACACGAGCCCGAUACGGACAAGCAAGACUUAAAAAAGUGUUUGUGAUAGGUAGGGACGUAAAACAGGUCGGGUAGCCCACGCGCCUUCAGGCCGGGCAACAGCACGGUAUGGAUACUAUAGCAUCCGGCCCGACUUGGCCCGGCCUAGACUUUCGGUUCAUGUUGGGCCACUAUAAUUGGGCACGAUGGCUUGGCACGGUCCGGCCAAUAACGGGCCUGGGUCAAGCCGGGCAGAGAAGAGGUUCGCGGUCUGAUUGGCACGGCCCACCAGGCCAACGUGGCCCGGACCCCACGGCCGAAGGCAACCUGCUUUGGGCUUGGGGUUCGAGCUCCUAGAGAGAAGGGCUCCUCGGGAGGAGUCUCCCCAAGAGCGCUCCUCCCAAGGUUGGGAGGAGUGGGUGGUUUUUGAUUUAAUGGACCAAACAAUUUUGAUCUAUUAGAUAAAAAAUUUAUUUUUUAAAAAUUAAUAAUAAUAAAAUAAUAAUUUAUAUUUUUUUUAUAAAAAUUUAAAAUUUUAUUAUUUUAUAAUUAUUUUAAUAAAUUUAAAAUUUUUUAAUUAAAAUAUCAAUUUAAAGAGAAAUUAAGGAUUUAAGUGCCGUAGCACGGAGUCGUGCCGGAAACUUGCUGGUACAAUACAGCACGGUGCGUGCCGGGCUGUGCCGAUACGUGCCAGUAACAAAAAAUUCAUAUGUGCCAACACAUAAUAAUAUGAAAUAUUUAUUUUCUAUAACAACAAAAUAUUCUAAUGGUUAAUUAUGUAAUUUUAUCAAAUCUUUUAAAUUUUGUUGAGAAAAUUACUUAUUAAUUUAAAGAAUAAAAAAUUUUGAGUUGUGUCAUUGACACGGGGGCUGUAUCGUAUCAAUAUCUUGUUGGCACGAUACGGUAUGAUAGAUACGGCCCGGAUGGACACUUAAAUCGUUGAUAGGAAUAAUACAUUAUUUUAAUUUUUAAAAAUUUUAUAUUUUUUUUAAAAAAUAAAAAAGAUAAGGAACCGGCCCGGAGAACGGCACGGUUCGUGUCUUCCGGGCCGGACGGCAGAGCUGGGCCGGAGGGUUGUUAGCUCCGGACCGGCCCGUAUUUUAAACCGGGCCGGGCCGAGGAAAGUUUUAUACAUUUUUAUGUUUUUUUAAAAAAAGAAAAAUUUGUAGAGUUUAGAGGCCCCCCUUAACCAUUUCUAAGGGGAAAAACCCCUUCGUCGCUGUUGCUGGUGGAGAGGGUUUUGGCGCUCAAUUCCACAACCCCCGAAGCCCCCAACGCGCGCUGUAGCGAGAAAGGGUUUUUAUUUUUUUUUCCUCUCUUUUGGUGGCGCAUCGCCGAGUUCCCGAAGGAAACCCUAUGGCGGAGAUCAUGGAGAUCGACGACGACGACGACGCCCCCGCCGCUGCGCCGCCACCGCCGAAGCUCGACAAGGGCAAAUCCCCCCUCGCUCACGACGUCGCCAAAUCCGCUCCCUGGGUCGAGAAGUACCGCCCCAAAUCCCUCGCCGACGUCGCCGCCCACCGCGACAUCGUCGACACAAGUACUCCCCCUCUCUCGAUCCCGGAUUCGUCGUCGUUGUUGCUGAUGUUGUUGUUGAUGAUGUUGUUUUUGAUGGUUUUGUUGUUGUUGAUGAUGAUGAUGAUGAUGAUGAUGAUGAUGUUUUGGUUACUAUGAUUUUUGGCCGUUGUAGUUGAUCGUCUCACCAACGAGAACAGGCUCCCGCAUUUGCUCCUUUACGGUCCCCCGGGGACGGGGAAAACGUCGACGAUCCUCGCCGUCGCGCGGAAGCUCUAUGGUUCGCAGUACCAGAACAUGAUCCUCGAGCUCAACGCGUCGGAUGAUAGGGGGAUUGGUGUCGUUCGGCAGCAGAUUCAGGAUUUCGCGAGCGCUCGGAGCCUGUCGUUUGGGUAAAAGAGAGCUAGAUGAAAAUUAUGCAAUCUAUGAAUAGAUUUAGGCUUUUAGCUGUAGCUAUCAUAGAGUAUUUGACAAUCAGAAAAGUUUGAAACUCUUCCUGUAGCACUAAGCAAAAAAAAUGUGAUUUUUAGGUCCUAGUGAAGAGGCUCCAACUUGGGAGCGAAGCCAUUGGAAAAAAUUAUUUAGGUAAAAAUGUAUGGUGACCUUCUCAACUAUAUAGGCCAUUUUCAAGUAGGACAUCCAAAUUUUCUAUUUUGAUUGGCGGCCCUUCAAUCUUUAAUUGCUUGAUUUGAUCUCUCUUUAUUGAAUUGGGGAUUUCUUUAAAAUUUAGCACUUUGUUUCUAUUACAAUUGUAAAGAGUGUCCAGUGCAUUUCUUUUCUAGAUGGUAUGGGAAUAUGUGACCAAAUUGAGAUUUGCUCACCAUAACAAACACUAGAAUGAAUAAUAAAAGGACUUAUCUGAAUUUUGCGGACCUUUGAAACAGUGAACUGCUUAUAAUCUAUUUCAAUACAUGCUGCUGGUUUGUUACUGGGUAAGCCAAAUUGGAUUACAUAUUUGUAAUUUGACCUUUAAGUACUUGUAAAAUUCUAUUCUUCUUCUAUGUUUACGUAGAGCAAAGCCUUCUGUUAAAUUGGUACUGUUGGAUGAAGCAGAUGCAAUGACCAAGGAUGCACAGUUUGCUUUGCGUCGAGGUUUGCUGAUAUUAUAGAACUAUCAUUUUUAAAUAAUAAUUUCAUAACCGUGCUUCUCGUUAUCAAGCUUACCAAAUUUGUUUAUAUUUUCUCUUGGUUUAGUGAUUGAGAAACAUACAAAGAGCACAAGGUUUGCACUUAUCUGCAAUCAUGUCAACAAAAUAAUACCAGCAUUACAGUCAAGGUGCACUCGCUUUAGGUUUGCUCCCCUUGAGGCUACCCAUAUUAGAGAACGUCUACAGUAUGUGAUAAAAGCUGAAGGGUAUGUCCCUACCUUACCUUGAUUAAUUUAUGAAUCUUUAAUGUGAUUUACUGAUGUUUAUGUAGUUAGAAAGAUUAAUUUCCUGGUUUCAAACUUCCCCUGAAUCUAAUGGUUAUUUUUUAAGGCAUUUUAUUAAGGCUGGUCUUCUUCAUUUCAUUUUUUGUGUUCCUGUUUAGCAUUGAUAUAAUACAUUAGUCUAUGCUUCUUAGUUUUCUCUUGCUAUGCUAGUCUGAAAGACCAAGUUUCAUACUUUCCUGGAUUAUUAUCUGGAAUAAAGACUAAGAUGUAUUAUUGCUUGACUUAGUUGAGCUUAAUAACUUGUAUUACUUUUGCUGUGAUUUAGUUGUGCUCAAUAACUUGUAUUACUUACUUUUACUUCUUGUUCUAUGUUUCUUGACUGCCUUUUGCAAGAAAGGAUUUGCCAUGUUAUGUUGGCAGUAGUGAGUUCAUUUUUAUUUCCUUUCCCGGUGGGUUUAAUCCAAGGAUUGGCUAAGGAUUGUCAUGCCACUGGCAGGGCUUAUGCUGUUGUGCCGGAGGCAUAGCACAGCACAGUGGCACGGGGCAUGCCAAUGUCGGCAUGCCCCUUCAUGCCAAUGGCACGCCAUUGGUAUAUUGGCACAGGUUUUUUCUAAUUAAUUUUUCAUGAAAAUUUAGUUUUUUAAGAGUAUUUUAAUAUCUUUAGGGGCUAUAAAAAUGGUUUAUGUAUUAUAUCUCACACAAUUAAGUAAGAAUAGAGUUAUAAUCUUCUGAAUAACUAAAGAAAAAAAAUAUUUAUAUAGAUUAUGAAAUUAUAUGGAUAAAGCCAAAACUAAAGUCAUAAUUGGAUAAAAAUUUAUAGGGAAACACUACCAUGAAUAAAAUCAUUAGAUCUAAAACGAUAAAAGAAAUUUGAGGAAAUCUUUUUAAUUGUAAUUUUUCACUAAAAGUUGGUCUUAUAAUGAAAUAGAAUUUAUCAAUUACUCCAAAUGUUAGUACAUUUAGAAGAUCUACGUCCUUUUAAGUAUAAAAAAAUUUACUACCUCAAAAAGAACCCCAGAAAAAUGUAAAAAAAAAACCUAGUUUGUCGAUAUAGCGUUGGCACAACCCUGUGCCAUGUGCCAACACGGCCUCAGCAUGGUAUGGCAUGGGCAGCACAUGCAGUCCUUGGUUUAAUCUAUAAAUUCUUGAUCCAGUAGGACUUCAAGAGCUUGCUAACUAAUCCAUCUAGCAUUUCUCCGAUCCUUACAGUACCACUAUAGUGCCUUGCAGUAUCAUUACUGUGCUGUACAGUACUGCUAAAAUUCUUAGCAGUACUUGAUAUUUUUAUUGCAAUUUUCCUUCUUUCUGGACCUCUCAGUUUGGGGUGUUACGUAGCAUAACAAUAUUUGAUAAAAUAUGGUCUUACUUAUGUCAAUCAUUUCCAUCAGAAUAACUAUUUGUCUCAGUACUGGCGAGUGCUAUGGGUAACUUCCAAGUUUCUACUUUUGUAAAACUAAGCCGAUGCUCCAAAUUAGCGAAAACAGUUGUUUCAACCUGUUAUACUUGGUUUUUGCCUUUCGUGCAGUGAAGAAUCCAAUUAAUGGCAGUUCUUUUUUCAUCAUAGGUGACCUUUUUAGAUAUGUCUGCACACUUUGGAAAAAUUCAUGUACAAUUUUUUUGUCCUGUUAGGCUUGAUGUGGAUGAGAGUGGCCUUACAGCACUAGUACGGUUGAGCAAUGGUGACAUGAGAAAGGCUUUGAACAUAUUGCAGGUUCUGAUCUGCACUAUCUAACACUUUUAAGCUCUUUAUGCUUAUUUUUUUUUAAAAAAAAUAUGUGCUUCUGUUAACUACUUUGUUUUCAUCUAGGAUUCACUUGUUAGAUCAGUAGGAAGUCUGAUCUGCGCAGUCAUUUUUGUUCUCUACUUUGUUUUGAGUAGCUUGGUUAAUAAACUUGACCUAUAUGAUCUCCUUUAGCUCACUCGUUGACCAAUAAAGUGAAUAACAUUUUUUUUUGAUUUAGAGGCUUAGAGCUAGAUAGUCCUUCAUUUGAGGUCUGUAAGUUAACUUCUCUAAAUUUGCCAGCCUUCUCCUUAUUCUUACAUUGAGAUUUAUUCUCCAUUUCUGUUUUGCAGUCAACGCAUAUGGCUUCUCAACAUAUAACAGAAGAAGCCGUCUACCUUUGCACUGGAAAUCCAAUGCCAAAAGACAUUGAGCAGAUAGCCUAUUGGUUACUGAAUGAAUCAUUUACAACCAGUUUCAGAUGUAUCCUACACGAAUUGUUUCCAUUUCUAUGUUUUCUUUCUUAGUUAUCUUUUAAUCUGAAUAUACACAUGUUAUGAAUUUGUCCUUUACUUUGUUUAGAUAUAUCUGAUAUAAAAAUGAGGAAAGGAUUGGCGUUGAUCGAUAUUGUGAGGGAGGUUACUAUGUAUGGAUUUACAAACUCAUCUUUUUCCUUUUUGUUUACCCUUUAAUAAGUGGACUUUUCUUUUGUAGCGGUCUCUAACGAAUUGCUUUCUCAGGUUUGUUUUCAAAAUACAAAUGCCAUCAAAUGUCCAAGUAAAACUAAUCAAUGAUUUGGCAGAUAUCGAGUAUGUUCUAAAUUUUCACAUCUGGCUUGUUAUUAAUCUUUUUGCUAUAGUUGUGUAUCUAUUGCUUGUACUUCUUGUGUUUCUGAUGACCAUGAGUACGGUACGAAUGGAUAUAGUCAUGAUCAGUGCUGGGGACACAUAAGCUCAACCUAAGUAUCUUUCGUAUAUAGCAUCUGGAACAAGCCUUGCCUCAUUAUAUGUGUAAUCACUCUUUUUUUCAAAAAAAAAAAAAAAUCAAAUUUGUAAACUUGUACCAAGUAAUCUGACUGGGUAAGAUAGGGUUACAUCAGAUCAAUCUGGAUUUAUUCACUAUGUAGGAUUCAUUGUAAAACUUCAGCAGCUGGAAGAAGUUAAGGCUUAUAAUAGUCAUUUCAUUCAAGAAGAAGAAUCUGGUUUAGGUUUAAAUCCAAUUCUAACUGUACGAAAGCUGUGCAGUUAAAGAACCAAUGCAUUAGUUUUACAAUAUAUAUUCAAAUUAGCAUCAAACAAGCCAAAAGGUGUGCAGGCUUUUAGGUUAGCUUAGCAAGUGCCUUUGUUUCAGAUUUGCCAUUUUUGGAAGAUACACUAAUAUUCCAGUCCUAUAUUGGUAUGAAAAGUUAAUGCAUGAUCCUUCUGAAGCUCAAACCAGAUAUUUAAUGAUGGCAAGAUGUGUAUGUUGAGGCGGACGAGUGAUCUCGCAAAAAGAGAAUAAGAAGCAAGUUUGACUGGCAAAAGUUGGAAAUAGCAUUUCUCGAGUAUAUGUGGCUGAAAAUCUCAUAAAAUGGUUUUGACAUGUUGUAUAGGUAUGAGUUGCAAAAAUAAGUGUGACGACCCAAUAAUGCCACAUUGGGGAGGACAGUAAUUCCUAUGGGAAAGGAAUUUCUUGUAGGAAUACAAGGAUCAAGGGCUCUAGUAAUAAUAAUUGGGCCUAAACAUUUUUGGCGCGUGGUUUGGGCCUAAAAAUUAUAAUGCUAGCAGGUUGGGUCAUUAUAUUUAGUAUCAGGGGCGGUUUGUUAGCUGGAAGUGUAAGAUUGAUUUCACAUUGCCGGGUAAUAUUGAGCUAGGGAAUGAAAUCGCCUGGUAAUAUUGAGCUAGGGAAUUGGACUUGACGAGGACAUAAAGGUUUAAAUAGGGGAGUCUGUAAUGCUCUAAUAGUCCCAUAUCGGAUGAAAAAGAAAUUCCUUUUGGGAACAUAGGUACUAAGGCUGUAAUAAUAGUGUAACUAGACUUAAGCAUUUUUACUCAGCGGUUUGGGCCCAAUAAGUUAUUAGUACUAGUGGAUUGCAUUAUUAGAAUAAGUGACUCUUCAGAAGAUGCUUGAGAAUAGGAUGGCCAAAAAUGUUGUUGGAGAAGCAAGAAAAAGGCGUAACAUUUACUUUCAUGUCGGACCAUGUUUAAAUAGUGUUGACCACUGAGUGAGAGGAAACUAUCUAUAUAGCAAACCCCAAUAAGAGUGAUCAUGUAAACAGUUUAGCAUAACUAUAAUAACAGGGUUUUGUUUCAAGUAUAAUAUUUCCUCCUGUUUUGUAACACAUCCAAUGGGUUCUCAUCAUUUGCAAUAUCUACACCAUCAGUUCAGUUUAAUCUCUCUGCAGUUUCAAAUGUCAACACUAUAAAAACCAGAGAGGAUGCAAUGGGUGGCAUUUUAUAAUUUGUACUCUUGCAGCAACUAAAACUAUCAUUUUUUUAAAAAAUUAUUUGGUUUGAAGCAUGUAAAUGUUGCUUAUACUGCAUUUCUUAACCAAAAGCCAAAUGAAUGAAAACUUAUGUCUCCAAGCAAGAUAACGAUCUUGGAUUUAAUGCUGUUAAGUUUUUUUACCAUCCUUUAUUUGUGCUAUUUUCUUAAUUUUGGAGAAUGCAAGACAUUAAUACUUAAUGUUUAAAAAUAACAGCCCUGAUGGUUCGAAUAUCUUUCCCUGCAGGUAUAGGUUGUGUUCUGCAUGCAAUGAUAAGUUGCAGCUUGGAUCAUUGAUCUCUACUUUCACUAACGCCCGUUGUGCCAUUGUUGCUGCUGCGAAGUAACAUUGAAGUGAAGCUGCGGCCUUUUACUUUUCUGAUCUGACAAGAGAAAUUAUACUUUUUGGUGAAUCUGGCAUAAUUCAAUGAGGCUGUUUGGCUCCUGUGCGCAGCAAAUUGAGGGGAAUUGCUGUAACUUAACCAUUGUAAGAUAGCUUGUGUUUUGCAAAACUAUGUGUUGACCUGUUAUGAUCAAAAUCUGUUUGUUGCACUGGCCGUGUUGAGGCUGGAGGAAGAGUGGAAAUUGCGUUGUUAUUCGGUUCUCUAAUCUGCAUCGUUGUUGUGCUCUCUCUCUCUCUCUCUCUCUCUCUCUCUCUUUUUGUGAAUCAAGUUUGCUGGAGCUGCACAUUAGUUGUUCUUGAAUUGGUCAGAAGAAAAUGGAUUGACGCAAAAGUCAUGUAUUGCAUCUAUCAUUUUCUUAUUAGGAUUGCGAGGAGCAUUUACUUUUCUAUAACAAAUCUAAUUUCUGUUGGGAUUUCUUGCAAGUCUAUGAUUUUUCCAUGAUUUCAGCUUAACACAUUCUGCUCACAAACUUUUUUUUUUUUUUUUUUUCAGUUUUCUUUUUUCGUUUUACUGUGAAUUAUUUUCUUUUUGCUUUUUAAUAGAUUAUAUUUAUUUUGUUGUAAAAAUGGGACUUUAUAUCAAAUGCUCAGAAUUUUAUGCUGAAAUUUGUUCUGUCAUCAACUUUGUUGGCUAUUGCGGUUUGGCAGAAGAUUAAAUAUAAUCUCCGGCAGUAAACACUGGCUUAUCCCAACUAGUAAAUUUCCUUGUACAAGUUUGGGUUAUAAUGCAUUUGUUAUAUGUUGACUCUACCACGUUUAUGAAUCUCCAAAAUUCUAACAUUUCGUAUCACUGACUUUGUUCGCAAUAUCAUUGAUCCUGAAUUAACUAUCUUCAUUUAAGAACCUGCCAAAAUGGUGAUCGGUAAUUAUCUAAAAAUCAGAAUAAUAAGUCUACAGAUUUUCAUAUUACAAAAUCCUGCACAUAGAACUAUGCAUAAUUGUGCGUCUUUACAAUUUCCUAUCUUGCUGAAUUUCUGAAUUAAAAAUUGUGAAAGGCACUACUCCUAAAUAAUACAAUAGGUGGGCAUUCCUAGAAAUGCAAAUGGAUCUAGGUUGGAGCUCCGGCCUCAAUCCAUCCCGAAGGGAGCGCUAAAUGGGAAUACAAAAUAUAGAAAAAUAUAAUUCAUUUUGAAUGGAAAUAGAAAAUAUAGAAAAAUAUAACCUGUUUUGAAUCCGCCCAUGAUCUGCCAAGUAAAUGGAGUCGAAGGCGGAAGACCUUUUUCUUCCUUCAAUCCGCUUCGAUCCGUCAAUAAUCUGCCAAAAAUUCACUUCUGUCCCAAAUAGGAUGAUAAAUGAGUCAAAAAUAAAAUAAAAAAUAAUUCACCCUGAAUCCGCCCCACCUUAUAAGAAAUGGAGCGGGAGGUGGGGGAACCCUCCCCCCUCCCCCGGAUCCACCCUGUUUGGAUCCGAGACACUCCCCUAUAUGUCCAAUAUUUUUUUUAAAAAAAAAAUAGCACGAUAUUUAUUUUAUUUAUUAGAUAAAUAAAUUUAGUUAUAUAAAAUGAGACAGUUAAGGUCUCAAAAAAAAAAAAAAAAAGGUGAAAAAUUAAAGAAAAAAUGAACUAAAAAGAAAACCAAAAAAGAACUAAACACGUGUUAUUUCAAAGAAAGCGUGUGUGUGUGUGUGUGAAUCAGUACAUUGGACUAUAAAUAAGAGCAACAUUACGCAGAAGCUAAAACGGUACCUGUAAAUUAAUUAUAAAAUUAAAAACUCAUAAUUACAGCAUGUUGUGGCAUCCGCAACAGUAUUAGUAUAUGUGUGCAAAAUAAUAAUGGAAGAGAUGAUCACGCUUGGAAAUAUAACACUUGUCAAAACAGUACACCGGAUUCGCCACAACGAAUGAUAUGGACUCCUCUCUUCCAUCACGAAUACACACUGGACACGUGUCAAAACAUUUCAUGCCGAUACUCUUCUUCGUCCGUUGGAUCAACUCUAACAUCCUUCCCCGCAGCGAAUCCCCCCAAUCUUUGUUCUUAUUUUUAAUUGUCUCGGCUCUCACCAACCGCCUCUCUUUGAACGGCGACCCAAACCUACGAAGCUCUCUCGCUCCGCCAUUCCCCACGUCCACGGAAUUCCAAAUCCCUAACCCUAAUUCUCGUCCCCGUCCCCCCAAAUCCCCUAAUGCCUCUCCAAAUUUGGAUUUGAAUUCGGAGUGGAUCUUUCGAUCUCUGUGACAUGGGCACACCUCAUGUGAAUCUCGAUCUCAAUGGCGCGGAGAUCCGCGGAGAAUUGGACGAGAGGAACCCUCCAAUCUAUUUGCCCAACCAACCCUCAGAUUCCCCUCUUCUCGCGCUUGAUAUCGGAGGUAAGCGUUUUUUUUUUUUUUGUUUGGCCAAUUUUGUGAUCGAAAUGGUGUUAAAUUUGUUUCGAUUUUGAUGUGCCGGUUCGAUUUUGUGUUAAAUUUAGGGACUUUGAUCAAGCUCGUGUACUUUUCCAAUGGGAAAGAGGGGAAUGCGGGGGGUGAGAGAGGGGUUCGGAAACUUGGUGGGAAGUUGCAUUUCACGAAGUUUGAAACGCGGCGACUUGAUGAGUGCUUGGAUUUUAUUGUGUCAAAGAAGCUCCUUUGUGGUAAGAAUUUGCAAGCAUAUGCCUUUGUUAGGGUUAUUGUUUUACUUGCCAUUAAUAGUUACCAUGCCUUAAAUUGCCUUUAUGUCUCUUGAUGAGUUGAUCAUCAUGCGUUCUGUAAGAGAUAAUUUUGAGGUUCUCUUACUUACAUUUAUUGCAUUUAUCAUCCCAAGAGCAUAUAAAUGUUUGAGAAGAAUUUAACUAACGAAAAUGAUAGCCGAUGUUGGACUGGAUUUGAAGUUUUCUUUAUGCGUGGAAUUUUGAGGGAAUAUGUGUUCUCGUUUUCUUGGAAAGAAAAAAGGCGGUAAAUUACAUGUUUGGUCUUCAAACUAUGAGGCGUGCGACACUUUGGUACUCAAACUUUACUUUGUUGCAAUUUCUAGUUCGAACUUUUUUAUUAAUGCAAUCAAGUCCCACGACCAAAUUUAGUUGACUAAGCGGUUGUUUGGUUCCACGUAAAACUGUGGAAAAUAGUUUUCAGUGGAAAAAAAAUUUUCGGAGGAAAAUAAAUUUUACGGUGUUUAGUGUUUGGUUUAUAGGAAAGAAAAAUAGAUUUCCAUCACGGUUGUUGGUUGAAAGGAAAAGAAAGAUGAAUAAAAACCUAUUAUAUAUAUUUUCUUCUAUUAUAUAUAUAUUAUUAUAUUAUUGAUAUAUAAUAUAUAAUAAUCAUUAUACUACAUAUGCUAGUUUAUAUUUAUAAAUAAAAUAUAUUUUACAAUAANUUGUUAGGAACUUAGGAGUAUACGGGCUGCUGAACUCUUAAUAGCACAAUAGUCCUAUUCUCUCUCUCUCUCUCUCUCUCUCUCUCUCUCUCUAUAUAUAUAUAUAUAUAUAUAUAUAUAUAUAUGUAAAGUUUGAGAAAGAGAGGUCCACAGUGGGAACUCUCGCGCGGUCCAUGAGAAUUGGCUUUUCUCGUGGACCACGAGCACACAACCCUUGGGCCGCUUGUUUUUGAGGAGAAGGUUUUCGUUUUCUGCAUGACAGAAAUGGAAAACGAAAACCCAACUUUUCAUCCAAAUCCAUAAAAUAUUUUUCUAUGUAAAAUAAUUUUACGGCCAACCAAACAGCCUGAAAAAUAUUUUUCAGACUGAAAAGUAUUUUCGGGCAAGUUUUACGAGGAAACAAACACACCCUAAAUGUUGAUGUGUCGCUAAUGUAGAAGUGAUGUAGUAACGUUGUGAUUGAUGAUGAUGCGAUAAUAAUUAAGAUGCUAUAUCACUUCUACAUUAACGUCAACAUUAACGCUAACGUAGGAAUUUUGAGGGAAUGUGUUCUCAUUUUCUUGAAAAAAAAAAAAGAAGAGAGGAGGUAAAUUACAUGUUUGGUCUUCAAACUAUGAGGCGUGUGACACUUUGGUACUCAAACUUUACUUUGUUGCAAUUUCUAGUUCGAACUUUUUUAUUAUUGCAAUUAAGUCCCACGACCAAAUUUAGUUGACUAAGGGAUUGUUUGGUUCCACGUAAAAUUGUGAAAAAUAGUUUUCAGUGGAAAAAAAUUUUCGGUGGAAAAUAAAUUUUAGUGUUUGGUUUGUAGGAAAAGAAAAAUAGAUUUCCAUCACGGUUGUUUGGUUGAAAGGAAAAGAAAGAUGAAUAAAAACCUAUUAUAUAUUUUUUAUUAUUGCAUUGUCGUUUGAAUGUU